rnacentral:rRNA from 1 species
UCCGUAGGUGGAUAAUUAAGUCAGAGGUGAAAUCCUGCAGCUCAACUGUAGAAUUGCCUUUGAUACUGGUUAUCUUGAGUCAUUAUGAAGUGGUUAGAAUGUGUAGUGCAGCGGUGAAAUGCAUAGAUAUUACACAGAAUACCGAUUGCGAAAGCCGAUCACUAAUAAUGUACUGACACUGAGGGACGAAAGCGUGGGGAGCGAACAGGAUUAGAUACCCUGGUAGUCC